CCUUUUAUUUUUCUCCGUAUCUCAGAGUCCGAGUUUUGCAGGAAACAAAGCGCCGAUCAACUCGGCGUAACGCCUCGACCUUUCAUUAAUAUGUUCUUUAAUUCGGGCUUUAACGUGAUCGACCCACUUCUUCCACUCUGAAGCAUUCAAUUGAUCUCACCAGCUUCUAAAGUAACUGACGGAUGCUCCACCUAUAAAUGUGUAUGCUCCCAGCGAUAAACAGAGUAACUCCCGCAAAUCAGAAAGAACAAUCUCUGUUAAUCACCAUCUCCAACAAUGGCGAGUUCCUCCAUCUUGCUUGCUAAUUUACAAGCUAACCGCUGCUUAGACACUUUUCAGUGAUUGAGAGUAAUGAAUGGCGGGAGACACAUUUAAAGCACUUACAAACCUUGUGUGCUCAUGUUUGUUAGGAAUCGGUGAUAGCUUUCUUUUUCUCUAGCUUAUAGAGAAAGUUUGUAUCAAACAAAUAAUUUUGAAGCUUGCUUUGGACAAUGAUUGAUUGUGGCAUACUCAGGAUGAUCUGCAAGUUGGACUCAAAGACCUACAAGACUUUCUGAAACCAACGUAACAAGUGAAUUCUUACCAGGAUAUUUGAUCGAUAUAGUCAAUAAACACCAGAAGCUAGGACAAGCCUUUUUUACCAUUACAUUAAUGCUGGAACCAUCAGGCCAACAAGACUUGGAGAGCAGUCAAAACUCAUUGAAUUUGGUACAAUGCAUUGUCUCUGUGAUCUUGCUGAUGCACAAGGACAUCAAAGUCAAGGAAGAUAUUAUCACCAUCCAAGUCAGAGAUUGAAUUGGUUCUGCACAACGUUAUCACACUGCAGUCCUCCGAUCUUGACUGUAGACAUAUGAUGAAAACCACAGAAGAGCAACUUAGGAUUGCAUCUAAUAGCUUAAUAAGCUGUGCAACAAUAUAAUGAUUUGUGCUCUCGGUGUAAAAACUAUAUGACUUUCCUUUUUUUUAUUUGGGAAAGCACCAAUUUAAAGUACACAAUUUUGAUAAAGAUAUGACUUUUCUUUGCUUA